rnacentral:lncRNA from 1 species
GUGUGUAUAGGAAGGAGGCGGGUCUAGACUGGGUCACAGUGGCUCCCUCUGUAUUUCUCCAGCGCAAUAACCUUGACUUUGUUUUUUGUUUUGUUUUCUUCAGUACGGGAGAUGGAAAUCGGGUCCUUGCGCUUGCACAGCAGGCGGCGGAACCACUGAGCUAAAUCCCCGAAGCCAACAUUUCAAGAUGCCUUGUGUGGAGCUGAGGCUCCUGCCGAGGGUGAGGUGUGGGGAUGAUGUCAACGCAGGGUCUGAGGAAACCCCACCUGCAACCUUCGUCUGGAGCAACACAUGCCAGGCCAGAGGUGGCUGGGGAAGCACUUUCCCUUCAUCAGCCCCAGAAAGCCUCACCAGGCAGAAGGGAGAUUUACUGUCCUGUCAGUGAGGCCAUUGCUCACCAGAGAAGAUGCAAGGUCAUCCUGCCAGGCAGCAUUGCAGGGCAGAUUAAAUCAUCGCCGCAGCCUCCCUGCUUCCAUGUCACUGUCACAGCUCUGGUGGCCUCUGGGCUGGGUUCACCCUUAGAUGAUGGCAGGACUGAGGGCCAGUGUCCUUCAAGAUGGCAGAGAUGUCCCCAUGGAUGCCUGGUGGCCCCAGUGGGAGGACUGAGAUGAUCUUGUGCCACUCAGCACUGCCACGCCCAGCUGGGCGGGAGGGUCACGGCCCUUGAAGGAUGCCUUUGCCUGUCCUCAGGGAGAGGUGACUCUGUGGGAUUCCCACCCCUUUCCCAUCCUGUGGGAUUGGCUGCCAGGCACUGGGCUCCAGGAGGGGAGGUGCCAGUGGUCCCAGGGGUGCCCGAGGGAGCAGCUCCUUAGCUGUUUCCUCCUGUCCCCUCUGCUCUGCAUCUCUAGAUCCCUCCCUGAGCUGUGCCACCAGGACCAGGCAGGGAGGUAGAGUGGGCAGCCUCUGGGGUGGGCAUGGUCACCAGGAGGGACAGAGGGCACCAUCAUGAUCAUGGAGGGAACACUGGACAAAGGUGACCUUCACAUUUGCCCUUGGGCUCAGUGGACAGAUGGAAUCUUCAGGCUGAUGAGGCCCUGGCUGCAUCUUCACUUUUUUGGAAGGCGUAAGCAACUGUGCCAGUGUGAGUGUGAUUGUGUGCACACAAAACAGGGUGGCAGGUGAGGCUUGGGUGGGAGUGUGCAUGGUGACAAGACAUGAGGACAGGGUGGAUGUGGGGAGGGCUCAAGUUGCAGGGUGACACUGGGGAAGGCUGGGGAGAGGACAGGGCUUGUGUCAGAGGAUACAGUGUCUGCCUCUCCUCACCAGAGUCCACAGAGCCACAGCCAUCUGUGGACACUGUGGGGACCCAGGUGUUGGACACAAUGACCAGCUUGUGGUGAGCCCCCCUGCACAGCAUAUACUUGGCCAUGCAUGUGGCAGAGCUAGCUAGGAAGACGGGGCAGAAAGCAGAGUGUGGGCCGGCCCAGUGGAAAGUGUGGAGCCCACAUCUGCAUGUGAGGUGUGAGUGUGACACUUGUGACCCCAACUCUGUUCUCGGCUGUGAAGAAGCCCUAGUGACAACAAGGACGCACACAGGAUCCCCUGCCUGAUCACGGUGCUCACAUCUGGAACCUGGUCGAUAACAGCACCCAGAGCAGACACAAUGAUGAGAGACGCAAAGACUCAGGCCAGCAACACAGGGAGCAGCAUGAACACAGCAUCGGGGGGAGCAUGUGACCUGCAGUGCAGGUGCGGAGCAAGACAGGAGGAAAACCAGGGAGCCCCGAGUGCAGUGGUGGGCGUACAGAGGGCAUAGGGCUAGGAUGGUGGGAGGGCAGGGUACAGUGGAACAGGGGCCCCAAGGCUCUGAUUCACCCCUCAGGAGGCCCGAGGAGGGAGUAGGAGUCGGGGGCAGGGCCUCAGGAUUUGCCUGAAAAUGGGAUCCUGAGGGGGCAGAAGAGUGUGCCAGCUGCUUCCUGUGUGUCCCUGUCCUUGGCCAAGUUUCCGUAUGUAAGGAGAAUACUGCAUACAUGUGCUUGACAGUUUCCCACCAUAUGCAUCAUCCGCGUUUCCCCAGUUUGUCAUUUU